GGGAAGGUGGCUCAGUGGUAGAGCACUUGCCUUGCAUGUUCGAGGCCCUGGGUUCGAUUCCUCAGCCCCA
rfam:Dipodomys ordii contig_4458, whole genome shotgun sequence.